GGGGAAUUUUGCGCAAUGGGCUAACGCCUGACGGAGCAACGCCGCGUGGAGGAUGAAGGCCUUCGGGUCGUAAACUCCUGUCGACCGGGACGAACGUAGUCUGGCCCAAUACGCCGGGCUAUCGACUGUACCGGUGGAGGAAGCCACGGCUAACUCUGUGCCAGCCGCCGCGGUAAUACAGAGGUGGCAAGCGUUGUUCGGAAUUACUGGGCGUAAAGGGCGCGUAGGCGGUCUUGCAAGUCCUGUGUGAAAUCCCUCGGCUCAACUGAGGAACUGCACAGGAAACUGCUUGGCUUGAGUUCGGGAGAGGGAAGCGGAAUUCCGGGUGUAGCGGUGAAAUGCGUAGAUAUCCGGAGGAACACCGGUGGCGAAGGCGGCUUCCUGGACCGACACUGACGCUGAGGCGCGAAAGCUAGGGGAGCAAA
rnacentral:rRNA from 1 species